CUCCUUAGAAUCCCAAAAGUAUAGGGUUCAGAGAGCUUAUCAGUGGGCAAACACAUCCACACUGGGAGGGGAUGCACCCCAACUCCGUAGGGACCGAGGCCUCUGUGCACCCGAACCGCCCGGACCCUGCCCUCCACAUCUCUUCACCUGGCUGUUCACCUGUAUCCUUUGCCAUGUCCUUCCAUAAACCGCUCCAUAAAGAGUUUCAGAGUGCCCCUCUGCGCCAGGCCCCAUGCUAAUUGAUGAAGAUACAGCACUUUGAACAGGAGCCCUAAACUCAGGGGCCUCCCACCCUAUGCUGGAGAAUGGCAAACUGAUCACUGCAAAGCAGGGUGGGGCUUGCACCCUCAACACAUGACCAAAGUCAAGAGCAGGAGAGGGGAAGCUGUCCACUAAGGGAGACCUACUGAACAUACUGCAACAGCAACAUGGCUCUCCUUUGCCUGGAAGAAGAGCCAGGAUGGUAAGAAACUUGGAGGACACAGAACUGCUAAGACUCAGAGUUGGACCACAUACAGGGAGGAGAGGAGGGGAGUAUUCAAAAAAGUCAAUUCCACCCAAGUCUCUUGCCUUGGACAAGUAGGUGAAUGGGAGGAUUAUUCAUAAGCACUCAAAACACAGGAGAAGGAGCAGGUGAAGCAGAGCAGGGAGAGGUGAAUC